rnacentral:rRNA from 1 species
AGAGUUUGAUCCUGGCUCAGAGUGAACGCUGGCGGCAUGCCUAACACAUGCAAGUCGAACGGUAACAGGCCCGCAAGGGUGCUGACGAGUGGCGGACGGGUGAGGAAUACAUCGGAAUCUGCCCGGUUGUGGGGGAUAACGUAGGGAAACUUACGCUAAUACCGCAUACGACCGAAAGGUGAAAGCGUGGGAUCCGCAAGGACCUCGCGCAGCCGGAUGAGCCGAUGUCGGAUUAGCUAGUUGGCGGGGUAAAAGCCCACCAAGGCGACGAUCCGUAGCUGGUCUGAGAGGAUGAUCAGCCACACUGGGACUGAGACACGGCCCAGACUCCUACGGGAGGCAGCAGUGGGGAAUAUUGGACAAUGGGGGCAACCCUGAUCCAGCAAUGCCGCGUGUGUGAAGAAGGCCUUCGGGUUGUAAAGCACUUUUAUCCGGAACGAAACGCGCAGGGUGAAUAGCCUUGCGAACUGACGGUACCGGAGGAAUAAGCACCGGCUAACUUCGUGCCAGCAGCCGCGGUAAUACGAAGGGUGCAAGCGUUACUCGGAAUUACUGGGCGUAAAGCGUGCGUAGGUGGUUUGUUAAGUCUGUUGUGAAAGCCCCGGGCUCAACCUGGGAAUGGCAAUGGAUACUGGCAAGCUAGAGUGCGGUAGAGGGUAGUGGAAUUCCCGGUGUAGCGGUGAAAUGCGUAGAGAUCGGGAGGAACACCAGUGGCGAAGGCGGCUACCUGGACCAGCACUGACACUGAGGCACGAAAGCGUGGGGAGCAAACAGGAUUAGAUACCCUAGUAGUCC